rnacentral:misc_RNA from 1 species
GAUGAAGAACGUAGCGAAAUGCGAUAAUUAAUGUGAAUUGCAGAAUUCCGUGAAUCAUCGAGUCUUUGAACGCACAUUGCGCCUCAUGGCAUUCCGUGAGGCAUGCCCAUCUCAGCGUUAGAAAAUAUUCUCAAAUUUUAGUUUUGUGCUAAAAUUUGGAUCAUGUCAAGGAAGCUAUUACUAUUAUUGUGAUCGCUCUUUGGAAAUUGAUAGGUCUUUGAGUUGCUACUCAUAGAACGUGAUGAAUCUUUCUUCGUUCUAUUGUAAUUCACUCUGGUAGUCAUAAAACUUGUAUGCCUGUGGCAUAUCUUGUAAUUUGACCUGAGAUUGGGUAGGGAUACCCGCUGAACUUAAGCAUAUCAAUAAGCGGAGGA